rnacentral:lncRNA from 1 species
UUUUUUAUAAUAGUAUCAUGGUUCGCGACCACCAGCAAGAUUAGGAUGAUGACUUCAUGGAGCCGCUGCCACGGAAUUAUGCGGCUAGUCCUGGGAAUGACGGAGACGAGGUUCUUUUUUUUUCCUAUUCAUUGCGUUAUCGAGAUUUCAUUCAUUUUAGUGGUAUUGAACAUGCGAGAAUGACCAUGUUUCAGUUUUGUAGAAGAAGAAACAUGCACACAAUAGGGCUUCGCAAGAAUGGGUGAC